rnacentral:rRNA from 1 species
AACGAACGCUGGCGGCAUGCCUAACACAUGCAAGUCGAACGAGACCUUCGGGUCUAGUGGCGCACGGGUGCGUAACGCGUGGGACCCUGCCCUUAGGUUCGGAAUAACACUUCGAAAGGGGUGCUAAUACCGGAUAAUGUCUUCGGACCAAAGAUAUAUCUCCUUUGGAUGGGCCCGCGUUGGAUUAGCUAGUUGGUAGGGUAAAAGCCUACCAAGGCGACGAUACAUAGCUGGUCAGAGAGGAUGAGCAGCCACACUGGGACUGAGACGCGGCCCAGACUCCUGCGGGAGGCAGCAGUGGGGAAUAUUGGACAAUGGGCGAAAGCCUGAUCCAGCAAUGCCGCGUGAGUGAUGAAGGCCUUAGGGUAGUAAAGCUCUUUUACCCGGGAUGAUAAUGACAGUACCGGGAGAAUAAGCUCCGGCUAACUCCGUG